rnacentral:rRNA from 1 species
AUACGGAGGGUGCAAGCGUUGCUCGGAUUUACUGGGCGUAAAGGGAGCGCAGGCGGCCUAUUAAGUCUGAUGUGAAAGCCCAGGGCUCAACCCUGGAACUGCAUUGGAUACUGGUAGGCUAGAGUAUGUUAGAGGAAAGCGGAAUACCUGGUGUAGCGGUGAAAUGCGUUGAGAUCAGGUGGAACACCGGCGGCGAAGGCGGCUUUCUGGGACAUUACUGACGCUGAGGCUCGAAAGCGUGGGGAUCAAACAGGAUUAGAAACCCCAGUAGUCC